rnacentral:tRNA from 1 species
ACCGAGAUAGCUCAGCUGGUGGAGCAUCGGCCCGGUCUGCGGAGGGUCUCCGGUUCGAUUCCGGGUCGCGGCG